GAGAUAAAAAGAGGAGUUCUAUCCCAACCACUGAUACAAUGAACUAGUAGUCCAUUAUUCCCACUUCGGACGUAGGCCAGGAGCAACUUUAAGUAUUUCUGGGUUAAGGUCACCAAGUCCCAUUUCUAAAACAAAAAUGGUUGAAGCAGUUAUAACAUCAUUUGGCACGAAUAUGUUAGCAUCGACGUGACCUUGAUUCCACUCAAACACCAAGUUUUCUGCAACGUAUCCUCUAUCUCUGAAAUCCUUGAAAAAUUCACAGCCUGGAUAAGGCAGUGAUAUCAAGUUGAAUUCUGCAUAACGAUUCUCUUUGUCCACUUUCUCCGAAGACGUAACACUGGAACGUGGAAAUUAAAUAAAAGUAUAUGUUAAUAUGUACUAAAUAUGUACAUUGACAAACUUGAAAAUUGAUUAAAUAAAAGAAAUUUUCCUCA